rnacentral:rRNA from 1 species
UACGUAGGGUGCAAGCGUUAAUCGGAAUUACUGGGCGUAAAGCGUGCGCAGGCGGUUUUGUAAGUCUGUCGUGAAAGCCCCCGGGCUCAACCUGGGAAUUGCGAUGGAGACUGCAAGGCUUGAAUCUGGCAGAGGGGGGUAGAAUUCCACGUGUAGCAGUGAAAUGCGUAGGGAUGUGGAGGAACACCGAUGGCGAAGGCAGCCCCCUGGGUCAAGAUUGACGCUCAUGCACGAAAGCGUGGGGAGCAAACAGG